rnacentral:rRNA from 1 species
GAUGAACGCGGGCGGCGUGCCUAAUACAUGCAAGUCGAGCGAAUGGAUUAAGAGCUUGCUCUUAUGAAGUUAGCGGCGGACGGGUGAGUAACACGUGGGUAACCUGCCCAUAAGACUGGGAUAACUCCGGGAAACCGGGGCUAAUACCGGAUAACAUUUUGAACCGCAUGGUUCGAAAUUGAAAGGCGGCUUCGGCUGUCACUUAUGGAUGGACCCGCGUCGCAUUAGCUAGUUGGUGAGGUAACGGCUCACCAAGGCAACGAUGCGUAGCCGACCUGAGAGGGUGAUCGGCCACACUGGGACUGAGACACGGCCCAGACUCCUACGGGAGGCAGCAGUAGGGAAUCUUCCGCAAUGGACGAAAGUCUGACGGAGCAACGCCGCGUGAGUGAUGAAGGCUUUCGGGUCGUAAAACUCUGUUGUUAGGGAAGAACAAGUGCUAGUUGAAUAAGCUGGCACCUUGACGGUACCUAACCAGAAAGCCACGGCUAACUACGUGCCAGCAGCCGCGGUAAUACGUAGGUGGCAAGCGUUAUCCGGAAUUAUUGGGCGUAAAGCGCGCGCAGGUGGUUUCUUAAGUCUGAUGUGAAAGCCCACGGCUCAACCGUGGAGGGUCAUUGGAAAC